CAGCAGCCACGGGAAUACGUAGGGUGCAAGCGUUAAUCGGAAUUACUGGGCGUAAAGCGUGCGCAGGCGGUUUGUUAAGACAGAUGUGAAAUCCCCGGGCUUAACCUGGGAACUGCAUUUGUGACUGGCAAGCUAGAGUAUGGCAGAGGGGGGUGGAAUUCCGCGUGUAGCAGUGAAAUGCGUAGAUAUGCGGAGGAACACCGAUGGCGAAGGCAGCCCCCUGGGCCAAUACUGACGCUCAUGCACGAAAGCGUGGGGAGCAAACAGGAUUAGAUACCCGCGUAGUCCCUGUCUCUUAUAC
rnacentral:rRNA from 1 species